AGGAAAUGAGGGGAGGGGCCAGCCCCAGGUCCUAGAACAAUGCUAUGGGGCA
rfam:Mus musculus chromosome 13, GRC primary reference assembly.